AAUCAGGAUGUGCAUUGUGGUGGAGUUCAGUAAAUUACUUCAUUGACUUGACCAGCAUCAGUCGUCCGCUGUCGGGGUUGGCUGGCUGUCAUCAUGGACACCAAACGUUUUAUAACUCUUAUAUGGUUUUUUAUAACUAUAAGAAACGGUCUGUCGAUUCGUUGCUACGAAUGUAACAGCGCAAACAACUCGAUGUGCUUGGACCCUUCAUCAUACGAUAAAGAGAGCCUUCACAAGUAUCUUCAAACCACCAACUGCGAGAGAAGCUCGCUCCUGACGCAGGAUGUUGACAAAAAGAAUCUGUUCUGCCGGAAGAUUACACAGACAAUUCUUUACAAAGGUCAUGAACCCGAGGUGCGGGUCACUCGGGGUUGCGGCUGGGUCAAACAUCGCAAAGACUGCUACAAAGCUGACAACGAGGACCACCUGGAAACUGUGUGCCAAUGUUUCUCAGACGACUGCAACGCCGGAACACCACUGACAUUCAGUUUAUUAACAACGUUAUCCGCUUUAUAUGUUGGCGAAAUUGUUUAAAAAAAUAAUAAAAUAUUUACCACUCGUAAGAAAUGGUUUCUAGAAUGAUUAUACUGAAAAAAAGUGGAUCGUAACAAUCUGUGUUGAAAAAUAUUAGUAUUGUAUUUAUAAAAAAAUGUUAUUAAUGACACUUUAAAUGGUUUCCGAACGAUAUCGUACCUAUUAUAAAAUAAAACCGAAUUAAAUUAAUGCAAAGCUAUAGUAAUGGUUUAAAUAUUUUUCUAGUAUAUAACUUCCAAAAUUUUAUUUAUUGAUACUUAAGAAUGUCAAACUAUUUUACUUUAAGUUUAAAUUAUUUUAACACAAAAUGGCGAACGGUUCUCUCUACUAUUUAUUUAAUUAAAUGUGUAUUCAUAAGUUCCGCCAAUAACGUCCAAUAAUGUAAUUUUUAUUAUUAUUUUAUUAAAAUAUUAUGUAUUUUUUAUUUGCAAGAAAAUAAAACAUGAUUAUUUUUUUUUUCUAAAAUAAAAAUCGUAAUCAUUA